rnacentral:rRNA from 1 species
AUCAUGCAGUCGAGCGACAGACGAGGAGCUUGCUCCUCUGACGUUAGCGGCGGACGGGUGAGUAACACGUGGAUAACCUACCUAUAAGACUGGGAUAACUUCGGGAAACCGGAGCUAAUACCGGAUAAUAUAUUGAACCGCAUGGUUCAAUAGUGAAAGACGGUUUUGCUGUCACUUAUAGAUGGAUCCGCGCCGCAUUAGCUAGUUGGUAAGGUAACGGCUUACCAAGGCAACGAUGCGUAGCCGACCUGAGAGGGUGAUCGGCCACACUGGAACUGAGACACGGUCCAGACUCCUACGGGAGGCAGCAGUAGGGAAUCUUCCGCAAUGGGCGAAAGCCUGACGGAGCAACGCCGCGUGAGUGAUGAAGGUCUUCGGAUCGUAAAACUCUGUUAUUAGGGAAGAACAAAUGUGUAAGUAACUAUGCACGUCUUGACGGUACCUAAUCAGAAAGCCACGGCUAACUACGUGCCAGCAGCCGCGGUAAUACGUAGGUGGCAAGCGUUAUCCGGAAUUAUUGGGCGUAAAGCGCGCGUAGGCGGUUUUUUAAGUCUGAUGUGAAAGCCCACGGCUCAACCGUGGAGGGUCAUUGGAAACUGGAAAACUUGAGUGCAGAAGAGGAAAGUGGAAUUCCAUGUGUAGCGGUGAAAUGCGCAGAGAUAUGGAGGAACACCAGUGGCGAAGGCGACUUUCUGGUCUGUAACUGACGCUGAUGUGCGAAAGCGUGGGGAUCAAACAGGAUUAGAUACCCUGGUAGUCCACGCCGUAAACGAUGAGUGCUAAGUGUUAGGGGGUUUCCGCCCCUUAGUGCUGCAGCUAACGCAUUAAGCACUCCGCCUGGGGAGUACGACCGCAAGGUUGAAACUCAAAGGAAUUGACGGGGACCCGCACAAGCGGUGGAGCAUGUGGGUUUAAUUCGAAGCAACGCGA